GCAAGUCGAACGAGAAGCAUUCUUCGGGAUGUGGAUAGUGGCGCACGGGUGAGUAACGCGUGGGAAUUUACCUCUUGGUACGGAAUAACAGUUAGAAAUGACUGCUAAUACCGUAUAGUUCCUCAGGGAUAAAGAUUUAUCGCCAAGAGAUAAGCCCGCGUUAGAUUAGCUAGUUGGUAAGGUAAAGGCUUACCAAGGCUACGAUCUAUAGCUGGUCUGAGAGGAUGAUC
rnacentral:rRNA from 1 species